rnacentral:rRNA from 1 species
CCUACGGGGGGCAGCAGUGGGGAAUAUUGCACAAUGGGGGAAACCCUGAUGCAGCGACGCCGCGUGAGCGAAGAAGUAUUUCGGUAUGUAAAGCUCUAUCAGCAGGGAAGAAAAAUGACGGUACCUGAGUAAGAAGCACCGGCUAAAUACGUGCCAGCAGCCGCGGUAAUACGUAUGGUGCAAGCGUUAUCCGGAUUUAUUGGGUUUAAAGGGUGCGUAGGCGGAAUAUCAAGUCAGCGGUAAAAAUUCGGGGCUCAACCCCGUCGUGCCGUUGAAACUGAUGUUCUUGAGUGGGCGAGAAGUAU